rnacentral:rRNA from 1 species
UACAGAGGGUGCAAGCGUUGCUCGGAAUUAUUGGGCGUAAAGGGUAGGUAGGUGGUCUCAUUUGUGUGGGGUGAAAGCCUUGGGCUUAACUCAAGAAGUGCCCCGCAAACGGUGAGACUGGAGUACUUGAGAGGCUAGCGGAAUUCCCGGUGUAGCGGUGAAAUGCGUAGAGAUCGGGAGGAACACCAGAGGCGAAGGCGGCUAGCUGGAAAGUUACUGACACUCAACUACGAAAGCGUGGGGAGCAAACAGG